CAGCAGCCGCGGUAAUACGNAUGGUGCAAGCGNNAUCCGGAUNUACUGGGUGUAAAGGGUGAGUAGGCGGUCAUGCAAGNCAUAUGUGAAAUGUCAGGGCUUAACCUNGGCGCNGCAUAAGAAACNGUAUGACUAGAGUGCAGGAGAGGUAAGCGGAAUNCCUAGUGUAGCGGUGAAAUGCGUAGAUAUUAGGAAGAACACCGGUGGCGAAGGCGGCUUACUGGACUGUUACUGACGCUGAGUCACGAAAGCGUGGGGAGCAAACAGGAUUAGAUACCCUGGUAGUCCACGCCGUAAACGAUGAGUGCUAGGUGUUGGCCAGAGAUGGUCGGUGCCGCAGCAAACGCAAUAAGCACUCCACCUGGGGAGU
rnacentral:rRNA from 1 species